AUGGAGAUCCUAGACGAGUUCGACAGCGAGGUCCCGCAGAGGGAGACCUUCUGCCAGCAGAUCUCCGAGAAAGACUUGGAGAGGCAGGCGGACACCUACAUUGGGCGCGCGCUGCGCCACCUCGUCCGCAACCCGUCGCUGGCGGAGAGGGUGGCGAAGUUCUUCUGUGUUGUGCAGGGGGAAGCUGAACCAUUGCAACAGCAUGGGCGCCCUGGAGAUGCACGAGCGGGUGGAGCAGCUGAAGCAGAGCAUCCACCGCGUGCACCUCUACUCCCGGGACACCAAGAAGACGAGAAGGAAGCCAAGACAGAAGAAACCAGAACCCAACCUCUUAUGGGACCGGUUGACCCCCCAUAUCUGCCACCAACCCUGCUGCCACCUCUGCCACUACCAACACCAUGGCCUCCGUGGUGACCCCAUCAGCCCUUGGCACCUGGGGCUGCCUUGCUUGCCUACAGCCAA
rnacentral:sRNA from 1 species